UCUUUGUCUUUUGUUUUUGUGCUUGUUUCCUUCAGGGACAAAAGCUAAAAAUGAAGUAUUUUAACCUUUCUAAAGACAUUGUCUUAAUGUUCUGUAAAAUAUAUUGUUCUUCCCUUCAAUCCAUAUUUUAACUUGAUGUUCUUUAUUUGUUUUCAGUUCUUUGGGUCAUAUUUUACAUUAAUUCAGUCUCUGGUGCUUCAGGCAGGUUGCUUGCAUCUUUCUGGAGUCUGAUGAACAAGUAAGCCUGGAUUUGUGUAACUGGCAAGGGUGCUGAUUGAUUUACUCAUUAAGACAAGGGUCUUUAUUUCCCUUCUGCUAGUUUUGGCAGAAGAAUUUAGAGCAGUUAAUGGAUAAAUGCAUUGCAGUCAAACCUCUGUGUAUUGAGCUGAACUGUGUGGUUGCUGCAUGGUAACAGUGCCAUCAUGUGGGCUUGUAUAUAAAAUCCAUUUGGUUUGUGAUGGCAGCCAGAGUUCUCUCUAUUACUUGUGCCCAAAUCAUCCCAUAAUAUUACAGGUGUGUACAUACUCUAUGGGGAAUGUUCUUACUCAGCUUUUGUUUUGGCAGAAGGUGGGUCAUGUUUUGUUUCAAAUGUUGAAACCUGUUGAGUGAAGUUUGUUGUUUUUAGAAUAUUAAAACCAAGGAUCUUUAUUUACCCCAUUGAGAAUCUAACAUUAUUCCAAUCACGAAUGUGCAGGGAAAAAUGAAAUGUUGCUGCUUUGCUUCCUAAACUUUGUUCCGUAGCUUCUUUGAGAUGUAACUUGGUGAUAAAUUAACUCAAUUAUAGCUUUAGGGAAAAUACUUCAUUAAAUAAUGGAUGAAAUAUUUUCUCAUUAAGGCAGUUCAUUAGGUAUGAUUUAAGACAUGGUCUGCUCUUUUGACAAAAAUUCACAAUUAGGAUUUUGGUGACUUAAAGGGAUAGUUUGCCCCAAAAUGAAAAUCACCUUAAAGUUAUUCCAAACCUGUAUACAUUUCUUCUGCUGAACACAAGAUGUUUUGAAGAAUAUGGAUAACCAAACAGUUGAGGGGGCCCAUUGACUUCUGUAGUAUAGGGGGGGGAAAAUAGUCAAUGGGGGCCCCAUCAACUGUUUGAUUCAAAAUGUCGUCUUUGUGUUCAGCAGAAGAGGGAUUCAUACAGGGCAAGUAAAUGAUGACAGAAUUUUAAUUUUUGGGUGAACUAUAUAUAUAUUUUUUUAAGGUUAGGUUAUCUAACACAGUGUUUCUCAACGGAUUUGGCCAUGAUGAGACUAUAUAAAUAAAAAAACAAUGAAAGUCCGCGCAACAGACAAAGAUGGCCAUCUACAUCAUAUAUUUUGAUGUAGAUGGCUUGUAUUAUAUAUUUUUAUUAUAACUGCCUUAAAAGUUAUGAACAGUUAAGAACAGGAAAAAAAAUGACAACUAACUUGUAAGACUAAUCUUAGCGGUUUAUGCAACCGGCCCUUGCUGCAGUUUUUCAAUGGCUCUGAACAGUACCUGUUCCGGCCGGUGGGUGGGACUGUUCAGUCGGAAGAUUUCAACAAACCUUUAUUAAUACAAAGAGCUGGUGAGGUGGUAAUACGGUUAAGUAAAAUUUAUAACUUAUGUCUAACUUCCAUACUUAACAACUGUGCACAGUUUCUGAUAGUUAGGACGGCUAAAUGUAAAAUUAGCUGCUCUGACCCAGCGACCUUUAUUACUUAUUUUUAUACUGUGUACCAUGGAUGACAAUCCAGUGUGCGUCUCUGGUAAAAGAAGUUAUGCUAUUUUGAAUUUAGCCAACGACAUACAGCGGAAACACAUUCUUAGUAAUGGGGACAACAUAUAUCGUUAAUGAAAUAAAAUUGUACAGUUAAUGGCUGGAUAAAACCGGCAAAUUUGAAUUCACCAGUGGCAAAAAGUUCGUUUGGACUCUAGUUGUAGGCAAAUAACUACUGUUAAUGAACGCCAGAGGGCAGAAGAGAUCAAGAUUUGUAUGGACCGCGAAGCUGAGCUGCAUCAAAAUAAAAUCUACUCCUCAUGCACCAGUUACUUUCCUUAAGAAAGAAUGUAACAAGUAGAAAAUAGUUUCGUUACAUAUAUCACAUAACUUCAAAACAUACAAUUAUAAGAACACACAUGUUCACGUCGGUGUCACUGCAGGCAGUGGAGAUGUUCCACUGGUGAUUUGUGUUUGAGUGCCGAUUUAUGUUGUUUACUGUACUGUGUUUGCUUUACUCAAUGUGUGUUCAGAUGUUCCCUGGGAAGCUGUUUCAUUCUCUGUGUCCACAAUGCAGCUCCGCGCCAGUCUAUCAAUGAUCGUCUGUUUGAGAGCACCUGAACUCCUCCCUCUCUCUGUCUCUUCCCUGUAAUUUGGAAGCAAGAGAGAAAGAUAAACAUGUCUUUGAGUGAUAGAGAAGAAUGUCAAGAAUUCUGGCUGAGAAGGUGUUGCUGUUUGUUCACUUGCUACUGUCUGAAUGCGGCUUGGCCUCCAACGAUGCCGCCGCCGACAACUAUUAACUUUCCAGCUGGACCCCAACCGCUUUGCAUGCUGAUGAAGAGUGGAUCAGCCCGACGAGGGGGAAAAAGCGCAAACAGACAGGAGGAGGGAAUGAGGGAUUAUUUGGAGGAGUAAAAGAGAAGAAAGGGUGAGAGAACUGAGGAAAGAAAGACAAAGACUGUAUUUGUUUGUACGCUUUUAAAAAGCACUCAAAGAAAAUCUAUUAUUUCCACUUAUAAACCGAUCGAUUGUUCUCGCAUUUUCCCCCUUUCUCUUAUAUUCCUGCCAGUGGUAGCGCUCGUUCUGUGGACUGCAGUGUGAAGUCAUCUCUGUCAGGAAAAGUGAGAGAUGCUGAGUCAGAUUACUCAUAAACCUAGAGCAUUAGGCUGCAUUAUUCUACCAGGAAGUGGUGAGCAGCGUUCUCUAUGACAGAAUAAUUGAUCUAUUGUUAAUAAUGUUAGAUAGAUGUUGAAGUUGAGGAUGUAAGAAUGUGAGUCAGAUGUUUGGUGGUUGUGAAGAGAUGAAGUGUUGAAGUGCAUGUGAGUGUGUGUGCAUACAGUAUGUGCUCUGCAUAGUAUUGAAGAACUGCACCAUUUCCAAAACACAGGCAAAAAUAUAGACCUGCAGUGGCCCCCAAAAUAUUUGGACACUUAAGGCAGACUUAACAGAACUUUUCUUAGAACAUUUUUUUUUCGGAGCGAUAUUUGCAGUUACUUUUAAUUAUCUGGUCUCAAGGUGAUUCAGGUAGAUAUAAUAAGUCAGUUCCCCUACCGUAUACACUCCAUAUAUCAUCACAUCUAUUAAAAACAUAUUGCACUAUUGUUACCAGAAAGAUUUUGGAUUUUAUCUCAGUUUUGAAAAGUACCUAUUGUUUUAUAAUUUAAAGGUAACAAACUUUUUUUUUUCCCUGUGCUUUCUUCCUUUAAAACAAAAAAUCUUGGUUAUAAUUUUUAUUUAAUUCCCACAUACUUUUUGAGGUCACUUCUGUCAUGAUUUUUUAUCAUUUAAAGUCGCCAUGGAAUGGAAAUCUACUUUCUAAAUGCAUGUUAUUAAUCUUGUUGUGGAUGAUUUAUCUAUGCAUAUGUUUCAUUUAUUUAUCUUUUACAUUUUGCAAUCAAAACUUGAUAUUGAGGAGCAACAAGGUUGUUUGCCUCUAGCAAAUCAACAACCAAUGGAUAGAGACAAGUCCUGCCCUUCAAUUUUCUGUCUGAUUCACAAAUGGAAGAAAUGAUUUGUUGCUAUUCUACUAUAAUGCUGAAAUUAAAGAAGAAAACAAAACGCUUAUUGGCUGUUGUUUUAAUCUGUAUAUUGUGUAGUGUCUUAGUACUACUCUAGUAAAUACCAGCCUUAAUUGAAAGUAAUACAUGUGGUUAUUUCGAUAAUUGGUAUAAUCCUCUACCAGGUCUCUGUGACAAUAGCUCAUUUGAAUCACAUGCAAUUACCAUCAUCUACCCUGCUAAAAUCCAUAUUGUAGUGCUUUAUCGUCCCCCAGGUCAGCUAGGUAACUUCUUGGAGGAGUUAGAUGUGUUACUAUCAUCCUUCCCUGAGGAUGGUACUCCUCUGCUAGUACUUGGAGAUUUCAACAUCCAUCUAGAAAACCUCAGGCUGCUGACUUCUGCACCCUGCUUGCCUCAUUUGAUCUCAAGCGAGUGUCUACUACAGCUACCCACAAAUCAGGUAACCAAUUGGACCUCAUCUACACACGCUGCUGCUCCACUGAUAAUACUCUGGUCACUCCACUACACACCUCUGACCAUUUCCUCAUCACUUUUAAUCUCAACCUGACCCCUAACUCAACACACACUCCACCACAUAUUACUUUUCGGCGAAACCUACGCUCGCUCUCACCCUCUGACCUAUCCUCUUUGGUCUCAUCCACACUUCCUCCCCCUAAUCAGUUCUCAUCUCUGGACACUAACAAUGCUACUGACACUCUUUGCACCACGCUAACAUCUUGCUUAGAUGUCUUCUGCCCUCUCUCAUCCAGACCAGCCCGCACCACCCCCUCUGCCCCCUGGCUAUCCGAUGUUCUCCGUGAACAUCGGUCUAGACUCAGGGCUGCAGAGAGGAAGUGGCGCAAAUCUAAAGAUCUUACUGAUCUUAGCUUCUAUCAGUCACUCCUUUCUUCUUUCUCUACAAAUGUCUCCAAUGCUAAAAGCACGUACUAUCACAAUAAAAUUAAUAAUUCUACUGAUUCCCGCACACUUUUCAAAACUUUCUCUUCUCUUCUUUGCCCUCCUCCCCUCCCUCCCACAUCAGCUCUUACUGGAUCUGUCUGCUGCUUUUGACACAGUUAACCACCAGAUCCUCCUGUCAACCCUCAGGUCUAAGGGCAUCUCAGGAACCGCACUCCAGUGGUUCGAGUCUUACCUCUCAGGUAGGUCCUUCAGGGUAUCUUGGAGAGGUGAGGUGUCCAAGUCACAUCAUCUUGCUACUGGGGUACCUCAGGGCUCUGUGCUUGGACCACUUCUCUUCUCCAUCUACAUGUCAUCACUAGGAUCUGUCAUUCAGGAGCAUGGUUUUUCCUAUCACUGUUAUGCUGAUGACACACAACUCUACCUCUCAUUCAAACCAGAUGAUCCGACAGUUGCUGGUCGCAUCGCAGCCUGCCUGACAGCCAUUUCUGCCUGGAUGAAGGACCACCACCUACAACUCAACCUUGCAAAAACGGAACUGCUUGUGGUCGGUGCCAACCCAACACUUCAUCAUAACCUUUCCAUUCAACUUGGGUCGUCAACCAUAACUCCUUCCAGGACGGCCAGGAACCUCGGAGUGGUGAUGGAGGAUUGUUUAAGCUUCACAGAUCACAUCGCUACAACGGCCCAGAGGUAAGACUCAAACCUUAAGUCUUACUCGGAGUAAGACUCCUUGCAGAUCCUCUCCAGUUCUGUCAGGUUGGAUGAUAAAUGUUGGUGGACAGGCAUUUUUAGGUCUCUCCAGAGAUGCUCAAUUGGGUUUAAGUCAGGGCUCUGGCUGGGCCAUUCAAGAACAGUCACGGAGUUGUUGUGAAGCCACUCCUUCGUUAUGUUAGCUGUG